GUGGGUAUAGCUCAACGGUAGAGUGUGUGCCUAGCUUCACAAGGUGCUGGGUUCAAUCCCCAGUACCGCUG
rnacentral:tRNA from 1 species